CCUACGGGAGGCUGCAGUGAGGAAUAUUGGUCAAUGGGCGCUAGCCUGAACCAGCCAAGUAGCGUGAAGGAUGACUGCCCUAUGGGUUGUAAACUUCUUUUAUAUGGGAAUAAAGUGCAGUAUGUAUACUGCUUUGCAUGUACCUUAUGAAUAAGGAUCGGCUAACUCCGUGCCAGCAGCCGCGGUAAUACGGAUGAUCCGAGCGUUAUCCGGAUUUAUUGGGUUUAAAGGGAGCGUAGGCGGGUUGUUAAGUCAGUUGUGAAAGUUUGCGGCUCAACCGUAAAAUUGCAGUUGAUACUGGCAGCCUUGAGUACAGUAGAGGUAGGCGGAAUUCGUGGUGUAGCGGUGAAAUGCUUAGAUAUCACGAAGAACUCCGAUUGCGAAGGCAGCCUGCUGGACUGUAACUGACGCUGAUGCUCGAAAGUGUGGGUAUCAAACAGGAUUAGAUACCCUUGUAGUC
rnacentral:rRNA from 1 species